rnacentral:rRNA from 1 species
CUACGGGGGGCUGCAGUGAGGAAUUUUGCGCAAUGGGGGAAACCCUGACGCAGCAACGCCGCGUGAGCGAAGAAGGCCCUCGGGUCGUAAAGCUCUGUCAAGUGGGAAAAAAAUCUUUUGAUCAAUAGUCAAAAGACUUGAUGGUACCACUGGAGGAAGCACCGGCUAACUCCGUGCCAGCAGCCGCGGUAAUACGGAGGGUGCAAGCGUUGUUCGGAUUUACUGGGCGUAAAGAGCGUGUAGGCGGUUUAGCAAGUCAGAUGUGAAAGCCCUGGGCUCAACCCGGGAAGUGCAUUUGAAACUGCUUAACGAGAGUAUGGGAGAGGAGAUUGGAAUUCCUGGUGUAGAGGUGAAAUUCGUAGAUAUCAGGAGGAACACCCGUGGCGAAGGCGAUUCUCUGGACCAAUACUGACGCUGAGACGCGAAAGCGUGGGGAGCAAACAGGAUUAGAUACCCUCGUAGUC